UUAAGUUCAGCGGGUAUUCCUACCUGAUCCGAGGUCAACCUUAGUGAGUGUUUCACGGCAGGUACCCACCGCCACGCCCGGAGCGAGAUGUAACUACUGCGCCUCGGAAUGACAGCGAGCCCGCCACUGUUUUUAAGGGGCUGCGGCAGCCGCAGGCCCCCAACGCAAGCCUGGGGCUUGAUGGUUGAAAUGACGCUCGA
rnacentral:misc_RNA from 1 species